UUCGUGGAGGUCCGAACCCACGAGCGUUGAAAAGCUCGGGGAUGACGUGUGGGUAGCGGUGAAAUUCCAAUCGAGCCCGGAGAUAGCUGGUUCUCCCCGAAAUAGCUUUAGGGCUAGCCUCAAGGUGAGAGAUACGGAGGUAGAGCACUGAAUGUCCUAGGGGUAUUGCACCUACCGAAGACUAUCAAACUCCGAAUGCCGUCAUCUUAUACUUGGGAGUCAGACUGUGGGUGAUAAGAUUCAUAGUCGAAAGGGCAACAGCCCAGAUCGUCAGCUAAGGUCCCUA
rnacentral:rRNA from 1 species